rnacentral:lncRNA from 1 species
CUGGAAGGGGGAAAGGCAGGAAAGGCGGCUGGGAUUGUAAGCAGCACGACCUACAACUCCCAGAAGCCUCUGCGGGAGGGCCCGGAACCAGCAGCCAAUCGGAGCCCGCUCUGUGGCACUAUAAAAGGUGCCCGCUGACCAACUUCCGCCUCUUUCGGACAUGGCGGCGAGCGGGGGACGACGCGAGGCUGCUGUCGGGGACCAUCCACCGCCAUCCUUCGUCGCUGGGGCUCUCCUGCCGCUCGGCUCCGCCAUAUCGGCGCCCUGUGGGCAUCGCGUCCAGCGCCCGCGCUUCCGUGCGCUUCGAAGGCUGCGAAGGGCAGCGCGGCCUUGCCCCCGCCCUCCUCCUCAGGCCGGGCCAAGCCCGGGCAUCAUCCUGGUAUAGAAGGUGGUCCUGGGGCAUGGGAUGGCUGGUGAUGGCCUCAGCUUUGGGCAGCAAUAACUGUGGAAAAAGGGGAAAACCUGUGAGCCUGUCCCAAGGGCUUCAGCUUGCUUCCCAUAGGACCUGAGUUGUGGGAAAGCUGCAGUGUGGAGCAUUGGGGUCUGGAGGACAAGGGACAGUUCAAGCUGACCGUGCUGGAAGUGGCCAGUUUUUCACCUGGACUAUGCAGGUGGGAAUGAUCAACCUUGUUUUAAGAGCUUUUAAUUGGCAAAGAAUUGUGAUCUGUGGUGCAGGGUGUGGAUGAGAUCAGUGGCAGUGCAGCCUGGUCCAUGAUGUUUCCUCAGUGUGGAGACUGUUGGAUGAGUCCUGCGGAUAUGGGGCUGAGGCCAGACAUGUGCUACCCAAAAUCACAGGGCAGGGAGGGGACAUCCAGGAGUUUUGGUAUGUGGAUGGAAUCUGACACAGUGCUGAGCCUGACUGCUCAUCACUCAGCUGGAUUCUUUUUUUACCCUUAUUUUCAGGUCUAAGCAGAGGGUGAGCCAUCUCUGAGGAACUUGGUGGGGCAGUGCCAGACUGUUCUUUCCCAGCCCUCUCCUCCAGAAGUGGGAACUCUGCAGUGCCAGAUCCUAGCUCCUUCCUGACCUAUGAGCUCCACUGAGUGGGAGCAGCUGCUUCUUGGCUCCACUUACCUGCAAUGGAGGGAGGUGGAACUGGUUUGGCUCCAGGUGUUGCUGAAGCUCCCAUUCAGAUGCUCCACAUUGAAGAGCAGUCUUCUCAGGAAGGGGUCUGGAUAUUAAAUACUUGAUUAGAGCAGGGAGCCAGUAAUGCCAAGGUGGUGGGUUUGAUCCCUGUAUGGGUCAUUCACUUAAGAGCUGGACUCAGUGAUCCAUGUGGGUCCCUUGCAACUUGGAAUAUUCUGUGUGUGUGGUAAGAGUUUGAAUAAAUGCAGUUACUUCAAAUCCUUGUGGUGUUUC